UGGGGAGUCGUCUAAUGGUAGGACUGCAGAUUCUGGAUCUGCCUAUUGGGGUUCAAAUCCCUGCUCCCCAG
rnacentral:tRNA from 1 species